UACGUAGGGGGCUAGCGUUGUCCGGAAUCAUUGGGCGUAAAGCGCGUGUAGGCGGUUCGGUAAGUCCGCUGUGAAAGUCGGGGGCUCAACCCUCGAAUGCCGGUGGAUACUGCCGGGCUAGAGUCCGGAAGAGGCGAGUGGAAUUCCUGGUGUAGCGGUGGAAUGCGCAGAUAUCAGGAGGAACACCGGUGGCGAAGGCGGGUCUCUGGGCCGAUACUGACGCUGAGGAGCGAAAGCGUGGGGAGCGAACAGG
rnacentral:rRNA from 1 species